rnacentral:miRNA from 1 species
AUCUACCUCUUUGAUCGGAAGGGGUUCCUUCGAUCAACGAGGUACAUCCUCGUUGACCGGAAGGAAACUCUUCCGGUCAACGAGGUAGAU